AAGAAAAUUUAAUUGAAGCUGCUAACUUUAAUUUGGGGUUUAAACUCCUUUUCUUU
rnacentral:tRNA from 1 species